UGAGGAAUAUUGGGCAAUGCCCGCAAGGGUGACCCAGCAACGCCGCGUGGAGGAUGAAUGUCGUAAGAUUGUAAACUCCUGUUAGCGGGGAAGAAUAGUACCGGUUGGACCGGUAUAUGACUGUACCCUCAGAGAAAGCCCCGGCUAACUACGUGCCAGCAGCCGCGGUAAUACGUAGGGGGCAAGCGUUGUCCGGAUUUACUGGGUGUAAAGGGCGCGCAGGCGGGAUAAAAGGUCAGUGGUGAAAUCCUACAGCUUAACUGUAGAACUGCCUUUGAUACUUUUAUUCUUGAGUUCGGGAGAGAGAGACGGAAUUCCAGGUGGAGUGGCGAAAUACGUAGAUAUCUGGAAGAACACCAGUUGCGAAGGCGGUCUCUUGGUCCGACACUGACGCUGAGGCGCGAAAGCGUGGGGAGCAAACA
rnacentral:rRNA from 1 species